AGCGAACGCUGGCGGCAGGCCUAACACAUGCAAGUCGAGCGCACCUUCGGGUGAGUGGCGGACGGGUGAGUAACACGUGGGAACGUACCUUUUGGUUCGGAAUAACGCAGGGAAACUUGUGCUAAUACCGAAUGUGCCCUUCGGGGGAAAGAUUUAUCGCCAUUAGAGCGGCCCGCGUUAGAUUAGCUAGUUGGUGAGGU
rnacentral:rRNA from 1 species